rnacentral:rRNA from 1 species
ACAGAGGGUGCGAGCGUUGUUCGGAAUCAUUGGGCGUAAAGCGCUUGUAGGCGGCCUGUCAAGUCGCGUGUGAAAUCCCCUGGCUUAACCAGGGAAGUGCGCGCGAAACUGGCGGGCUUGAGUGCCGGAGAGGGUCGCGGAAUUCCCGGUGUAGAGGCGAAAUUCGUAGAUAUCGGGAGGAACACCAGUGGCGAAGGCGGCGACCUGGACGGACACUGACGCUG